rnacentral:rRNA from 1 species
AGUGAACGCUGGCGGCGGGCCUAAUACAUGCAAGUCGAACGGAGUGGCGCGCGGGAGAGUAAUGUAUAGCUCAGCUGCCCUACACUAGAGGACAACAGUUGAAGACGACUGCUAAUACUCUAUAGUGUAGGAUGAGGGGAUAUUGUAUCAGCUAGUUGGUGAGGUAAUGGUUCACCGAGGCUAUGACGCAUAACUGGUCUGAGAGGAUGAUCAGUCAAAUCGGAAGUGAGACACGGGUGAGGCUCCUACGGCAGGAAGCAGUAGCCAAUAUUGCCCAAUGCGGGUAUCCCUGGAGCAGCAACGGCUCGUAGAGCACGUCACUUUGCGGAGCGUAAACUCCUGUUGUUAGGGAAGCGGUACCUAACGAAUAAGCACCGGCUAACUCCGUGCCAGCCGCCGCGGUAAUUC